GGUUAGCACAAAAUAUGUUUUAAAUGGUUUUCUAGAGUGCGAGUUUAUCAUAACGAAUUUCUUAAAAAUUUAACAUAUAUUUUGAAUUGGUGUCUACUUUAUCUAUGGAAUUGUCUCAUUUCCUACCAUCCGAGUAUCGCUAUAAACAAAACAACAGUGUUCAGACGUCUUUGUGUAUUUAUUUUGCAAACUACCAUCUGUCAUCUUUUCGUGCUGCUAAAGAAAAAAUAAAUGCUCGAUAAUGAAAAAGAGGAAAUUUUGCUCUCGCAGUUUCCAGUACAACAUUAUUAAAUUUUCAUCGAGCACGUUGUAUUGAAUAAUUUGCUCAACAUUUAAAGUUGAAUUAUUCAGUUUACUUAUACGGAACUGAUUGAGAAUUUUGAUAAAUCUAUCAAUUUUUCAAUGCGCAUGUGAUCGGAGCUUCGCCAGAUCAAAUUAAAAAAAGAAAGCAUUUGCUGAGACAAUACAACAGAAUUGAUUAAAAGAAAACUUGCUUUAAAAUAAGCCAUUACGGUGACGUUUAAUCAAUGGUUUCGAGCUAAAUUAUGAAAGAUUUUGUUUUUUAAAUAUAAAUUUCGUUUGUGUAUGCAACACAAAGAUAAGUUUUCGGCUUUUAAAUUUAUUUCUAACUUCCAUUUAAAUUAGCUGAGAAACAAAAAAUUUUUGUUCGU